ensembl:lncRNA
GAAUAUUUGUUAGUGGUGUUAAUACCGUAUUUGAUUUAUUGUGUGGGGUCUUUUUAUUUGGUUUUAGUAGGUUUUUCACAGGUUAGAAAGGAUGCACCUUAAAAGGGGCACACAAAUGACAUUUUCUGAAGUUUCUAUUGUCUAACACGUGAAUUAUUUUGAAAAGGAAUGUACUGCGGAAAAAAACGAUGUAAACCUGGUACACAAAAUGUAUGAAAUGUUUGACAUGUUUUAAAAUAAGUAGUCUGAGGUACAGAGACAGGACAGGGAGAGAAACACUCACUUGUAGGGGUUGAAUGACCUCUGAACUCUGUUCUGACUUUUUGGUGAUGCCUGAUCACCUUCACUAGAGAGCCCAGAAACAUUGGCAAAGAUUUAUAUGUAAUAUGUAAAUACUCAUAAUUACAGAAAAGUUUAUAAUUAAUAGUUCUAUGUGUGAUUCGGACCACAAGAAGGACAGACCUCUCUCUAGUCUAUUUUACUAUGACCUAUAUAUUUUGGGAUACAAUUAUUUCCUUAUGGAGUUAUUAUUACGGGUAGUAAUUCUAAUUUGAUUUGUGUCAAAAUGGGGGAAUUACCAGUCCUCUGAGGUUUUUUUGGAUUGAAGAUUACACACCUCAAGUGAUAUGUAGGAGUGUAGCGAGUGAUAUAUGAAGGCGUGUAUUGUUGUGUUGUUUGUCCUGUUUCCAUUAUGUCUCACCAGAUUGGGUCUGCUGAAUGAUCGGGAUUUCUCCGUCUAACUUCCUGACCCUGUGACUCUGUGAUGAGGUCGACAGUGUGAUAAGGGAGUAUAAGCCAAUUUGAAAAAAUUGUUUCAACAGAAUGUGUUAUUUUCUUUGACAUUUGUCUUAAAAAUUUGUAUUAGGAAUAUUGGCAGUAGUAAUAAUUUGUCAUUCAGUAAAUCAUUUGUCUGGAUUUCUUGAAUCGGAAAUGCCUAAACUAAAUUGUUGUUUUGAUCUGUGGCAAAUGUGACCACAGAUGGUAUCUAGAUGCAUGGCAGGGACAAUUGAACCAAGGAACAGUGUGGACCUCAAACCCUCUCUAACCGACUGAGGAGUGCGACAUGAGUCCACAUGGAGGGAGCAUGGAGAGAUAUCCUGUCCGAAUUUCUCUCAUGCUGCUGGUAUACUGGUUGACAAAUGGGUGGUAACGGUAGUGGCGGCCCAGGUGAGACAUGGACAUUGUCAUGGGUAUUGUCAUGAGACAUCGGGACAUUGUAAUGGGCCAUCCACUUUGAACUGUGAAGUUAUCUUGAAAAAGACAAUGAAGAGACGCCAGAAGAAGGAGUGCCUGAAGGGGGGAUUGGUCAACUGUGCCCAUUAUUGAUUUAGUUUAUUUGGGGUAUCAGGUUGAUUUUGGAGGUCUACACACUGCACAAUUUAUAGUAAUUUAGACUAAGAAUGCAUUGAGAUACUGAUCUGUAAUUAUAACCCUGAUGAAAAAGUUAAUGCUAGAAUAAUAAGAAUGUUAUGACUCUCUUGGAUGAGGAUCCAAGGCUCAGAUCAGCGUGGCAAUGGCUGACGAAUGCCAGAACUCCUCUCACCUACAGAAGACGAGAGAGGGGGCUGGGCAGGUUAUGGUCACCUUCACACCAUGUCGUAAAUCAAGCUGGAGAGAACUAUUUCUUGCUCUCUAGUAUUGGGAUCGGAAUGUCUUAGUCUAAGAGAGACUUUUGCACCCCAAAAACUCUAAUGUCCAAGAGUGAACUUUGGAACAAUAUUUCUAAAUGGUCAUUGGGGACCUAAAGAAUAAUAAUGUCAUGUUGCUUUUCAUUAUGUGAUGUUAUUAAAAACUGUAUGAACCAAAUAUUGUAACUUAGGAAGGAACCCCACUUUAUCUGUCAAGUUACCAUCCGAUACGUUGUCUAUGUGAUAUGAAACUAUGGUUGUUAAGAUAGGAAGGUGAUUUUAGGAGUCAUAAGAGAUGACUUCUAAUCAUACCCUUUGCACAUUAAGUAGCCACGCCCCGAAUGAGGUCAGAGAGUUUGUCAGUGUGAUGGAACUGCCAUUUUUGACCAGAGUGCUUAAAAGGACUGGGUAAUAUUUAACAUAUCGUACCAGAAGAUGUGAGAUUGUGGUCCACAUGUUGAAAUGGUUGGAAACUCUGAAACUCUCAACCUCAAUACGAGGUGAAGAAGAUAAACUCACCAGACUAUACCCGAACAUGAACAGCCUGCAGCUUAGUUGUCUGGUCUCCAAUGGGCUGUUUUUGUUCAGAACUUGUUCUUAGCUUGUGUGGAUAGUCAGAGUUUGACCCCCUUUACACGGAGAGCCAAGAUAGACAACAAACGAAGACAUUCAACAAGUAAAUACAUUUGUUAUUUUCUUACCCAAAUGGGCAGCGGUUCAUGUGAAAGGUAUAUGAUUAAUGUGAGAAUGUAUCCAUGAUAAAUGUCCCUUUUUCUUCCUCUCUAUCCCUCUUCCCCUCCCCCUCCAUUUAUGUUGUAACAAGUGUCAUAUCUUGUCAGUUCAGGGACUUUUUAGGGACUUUUGUCUCUUGUACAGUUGAAGUCAGAAGUUUACAUACACUUAGGUUGGAGUCAUUAAAUUCGUUUUUCAACCACUCCACAAAUGUAUUUUUAACAAACUAUAGUUUUGGCAAGUUGGUUAGGACAAGUAAUUUUUCCAACAAUUGUUUACAGACAGAUUAUUUCACUUAUAAUUCACUGUAUCACAAUUCCGGUGGGUCAGAAGUUUACAUACACUAAGUUGACUGUGCCUUUAAACAGCUUGGAGAAUUCCAGAAAAUUAUGCCAUGGCUUUAGAAGCUUCUGAUAGGCUAAUUGACAUCAUUUGAAGUCAAUUGGAGGUGUACCUGUGGAUGUAUUUCAAGGCCUACCUUCAAACUCAGUGCCUUUGCUUAACAUCAUGGGAAAAUCUAAAGAAAUCAGCCAAGACCUCAGAAAAAAAUGGUAGACCUCCAGAAGUCUGGUUCAUCCUUGGGAGCAAUUUCCAAAUGCCUGAAGGUACCACGUUCAUCUGUACAAACAAUAGUAUGCAAGUAUAAACACCAUGGGACCACGCAGCCGUCAUACCACUCAGGAAGGAGAUGAGUUCUGUCUCCUAGAGAUGAACGUACGUUGGUGCGAAAAGUGCAAAUCAAUCCCAAAACAACAGCAAAGGACCUUGUGAAGAUGCUGGAGGAAACAGCUACAAAAGUAUCUAUAUCCACAGUAAAACAAGUUCUAUAUUGACAUAACCUGAAAGGACGCUCAGCAAGGAAGAAGCCACUGUUCCAAAACUGCCAGAAAAAAGCCAGACUACGGUUUGCCACUGCACAUGGGGACAAAGAUCAUACUUUUUGGAGAAAUGUCCUCUGGUCUGAUGAAACAAAAAUAGAACUGUUUGGCCAUAAUUACCAUCAUUAUGUUUGGAGGAAAAAUGGGUGAGGCUUGCAAGCCGAAUAACACCAUACCAACCAUGACGCACGGUGGUGGCAGCAUCAUGUUGUGGGGGUGCUUUUCUGCAGAAGGGACUGGUGCACUUCACAAAAUAGAAUGCAUCACGAGGAAGGAAAGUUUUGUGGAUAUAUUGAAGCAACAUCAGUCAUGAAGUUAAAGCUUGGUCGCAAAUGUGUCUUCCAAAUGGACAAUGACCCCAAGCAUACUUCCAAAGUUGUGGCAAAAUGGCUUAAUUAACCUCUCUGGGAUAUACCUGGCCUAAAGCCAUGGAAAAUGCAGUGCGCCAAAUUCAAAUAAAUUACUAUAAAAAUCUAACUUUCAUUAAAUCACAGAUGCAAGAUAGCAAAUUAAUGCUACACUUGUUGUGAAUCCAGCCAACAUGUCAGAUUUCAAAAAGGCGGAAUGGGACAAAAUUCACCCAACUUAUUGUGGGAAGCUUGUGGAAGGCUAACCAAAAUGUUUGAACCAAGUUAAACAAUUUAAAGGCAAUGCUACCAAAUACUAAUUGAGUGUAUGUAAACUUCUCACCCACUGGGAAUGUGAUGAAAGAAAUAAAAGCUGAAAUAAAUCUCUCUCUCUACUAUUAUUCUGACAUUUCACAUUAUUAAAAUAAAGUGGUGAUCCUAACUGACCUAAGACAGGGAAUUUUUACUACGAUUACAUGUCAGCAUUUAUGAAAAACUGAGUUGAAAUGUAUUUGGCUAAGGAGUAUAUAAACUGCCGACUUCAACUGUAAGUGUGUAUGUGUAUUCUGUGUUAUUAUUUAGUUGGUUUGUAAAUUAAUUAUUAAACCAAUUUGUGUAGUACUGAAUAAUCAGCAAAGGGGUUCUUGGGGCUCGGGUUCUUGCAGAUCCAAGAAGGUUACGACUGUUCAGAAUGAGAACUGAUAUGAGGUAAUGAUUAAUAAGUGACUUAUCGAUAUAUAAUGAAUAUAAAUCUUCUUGAGUUUAAUUCGGGAGAUGGUAUCUCAUUAAAUACCUUGUUCCAUGGUACCCCAAAUUCAUAAUGAGUUAAUUGUUGCAUGAUUAAUUUAUUCGGGUAACAAUUAAACAUAGUUAGUGGAUUGAAUAAAAAACAAUCAUCAGAUUGAUGAAAGUCACGUC